AAAAGUCAGGAAACAACAGGUGCUGGAGAGGAUGUGGAGAAAUAGGAACACUUUUACACUGUUGGCGGGACUGUAAACUAGUUCAACCAUUGUGGAAGUUGGUGUGGCGAUUCCUCAGGGAUCUAGAACUAGAAAUACCAUUUGACCCAGCCAUCCCAUUACUGGGUAUAUACCCAAAGGAUUAUAAAUCAUGCUGCUAUAAAGACACAUGCACACGUAUGUUUAUUGUGGCACUAUUCACAAUAGCAAAGACUUGGAACCAAC
rnacentral:lncRNA from 1 species